CGCCAUCCAGACUUGUUGAGUCUUCCCUGCGCGCGAUUCCGGGUUCCCCGCGGGCCCCAUCAUUGUCCUGGGGGGCGCCUGGGUGGCUCAGUCGGUUGAGCGUCCAACUUCACCUCAGGUCAUGAUCUCACAGUUGACAAGUUCGCGUCCCGCGUCAGACCACUCCGGAGCCUGGAGCCUGCUUCUGAUUCUGUGACUCCCUCUCUUCUUCUCCCCCGCUCAUGCUCUGUCUCUGUCUCAAAAAUAAAGAUGAAUAAAUAAACAUUUAAAAAAAUUAUGUAUACAUGUACUUUGUACUAUUCUGUACAUUAUGAAACAAAUACAAGAGAAUCUGAAGGGAGUGACAAAUGAUAUAAAUAAUUUAUGUUUUAAAAUUCUUAUUAGCGGGGUGCCUGGGUGGCCCAGUCGGUUAAGCGUCCGACUUGGGCUCAGGUCAUGAUCUCGCAGUUUGGUGAGUUCGGGCCCCGCGUCAGUUUCUGUGCUGACAGCUCAGUGCCUGGAGCCUGUUUCAGAUUCUGUGUCUCUCUGUCUCUGACCCUCCCCGUUCAUGCUCUGUCUCUCUCUGUCUCAAAAAUAAAUAAACGUUAAAAAAUUUUAAAUUCUUAUUAGCAAAAUAUUAAGAGUAAUAGAUUGUUUAUAUUUUUAAAAAUAUUAAUGUUAUUUUUUGCCUGUUUCAUGGGAGAUCUGACUAGCUAGUCACAGUUUUUAUCAUCUAAAGAGAUUUUCUGUAACAACUGUCAGCUUGGCCAUUUCCUUGUUUGCUUAUGCUUACGUUAUUAGUACUCUCUUAUAGGACUCCUUUUAGCCACUUGUUCAUUUGGCAAGAGUUCAGUUAGAAGUGAAUAUUCCAUAAUUUUGCUCAACCAGGCACUCUCAAAUGGCAGUAAACCACAGUAGGCCCAAAGUGAAUAAAUACAACCAUCUGAAAAAGGACACCAGUGUCAACUUAUGUAUUAAAUAUUAGUAAAACUUACUUUUUAGGGAAAAGAAUAAGAAACUAAAAUAGAAGUUGCACUAUUUUCUUCUCACACCUCCCCAGCCCCCAUCAUCUUGUACAUUCCCUGAGAUAUGAGCACUCUGCCUAUGUUACCCCUGCUCUAAAAAAUAGAAAUACAAAACAAAACAAAAAGGUCUCAAAACUCUUGUAUUUCAACGAAAGAACUUGUUUAAAUUUAAAAACUUUAUAGGAGUAAUCAGAGAGUAAAUUGAUAUGAUCACUUUAGAAAGCUGGCCUGGUCGUCGGUAGUUAAACACACGCCCAGCUUGUAAUUUAGCAGUCUGGUCUAGGCAUAUAUCCAGGAAAAAUGAGUGUUUGUGUCCACCAAAAGAUUUGUACAAGAAUGCUCAUACAUGGCAGCUUUAUCCAUAAUAGCAGGAGAUUGAAAACAACCCAGGUGUCCAUCAACAGGAGAACGGAUCAGCAGAAUUGUAGUAUAUUCGUGCAGUGGAGUACUACUCAGCAGUAAAAAGGAACAAACUACUGAUGCCCACAAGAAUAUGGAUGUAUUUCAAGAUUUUGAGGUUGAGUGAAGAAAGCCAACACCAGAGCGCACAUUCUGUAUGCUAACCAUGACGAUCAAAACAGGCACAAUUGAUCAGUGGUGAUUAGUUCAUGGUGGGUGGAGGAGGAAGCCCUGAAGGUGUUCUGUAUCUUGAUCUGACUGGUGGGUACCCAGAAGUGUACAUGUGUAAAAAUAUAUCAAGCUGUCCAUUUAAGAUUUGUGCACCAGACUGUAUAUGUUAUACCUCAGCUUAAAAAUGCAUACUUUGUAUGAAGUGGGGAGAAAGAAUCUAAUACUCCAAACUUCUUCACGGAUUGAAUUUCACCAUUCUUGGCUUUCAGUGAGAAGUUUUUUCCCUUUAAGACUUCAGUGCUACCGAUUUGCAUCUUCCUGUUCCCUUUUGACUAUUUUAGAAACUUCAUUUACUACUUCACAGCUUUUUCUUUACAUUUCUUUUUAGUUCUGGUUUCUGCCUCUGUCCUUUGUUUAUAUAUUAGAGUCUUUCUGUUCCUUUCAUAUUAAAUCAUUGCUCCUCUUAUUUCUCAUCUAGCUCUCAACCUCUCGCUUGGUAAAACUUAAGAAUACAGCAUUUGACCUACCAUUCUAUGACAUCUUGAAGAGCUAAAUGCUUAGUGAGCUUUUGUUGAGCACCUAUUGUGUGUAAGACACUGUGCCUAGGUAUAGUUUUUCAUUUUUCUACCAACAGAUUAAAUUUGCAGCAACUUAAAAAUAUUAUAAUUAAAUCAUUAGUGUUUCUGUGCCUUGUAUUAAUACAGAGGCUGAGAAUCCUUAGUUUCUGAUCCGUUGCACUUUCUGUUUUUUAUCUUUGACAAUAAACUGUGAACCUUUAUUUUUGGAGACCAGGCUACAUCGCUUCAGGGAAUCACUUGAGACUUAAACUUUUUUUAAUCUCAACAUAAAGUAAGAUGUUUACACGUUCCAUUUCUUUGGCGUGAGUCCAAACGAGUCCGUCAUUGUUUCAUUCCUCAGGUAGAGUGACACAGAUUCAGUCAGCCUUUCCCCCAGGGACUGUAUUCGUGUUGCAAGGACCUGGCAAAUUGUCUCCUUUUCUUCUGCUUAACUCUGGGAGCAAAUAGGCAGCUUAAACUCUCAAUACGAACGUGUACAUUUUCCAUUGCUCCCAUUUCACCCAGGUGAGUCUGUAUUUCUGGCACAUCCCCUUUGGAAUGCCCUAAUGACUACUGUUUUCCCCAUGAUUUGUAAAAUGUUAAUUCUCUGAAGUCAGGUUUCUACUCUAUGAGAUUGUAUUUGAUUCUUUUGGAAAAGGAUUGAUGGUUUAAAAUUAUAUAUGACUAUUGAAAAUGUCUGUUAGCAUAAGAAGAACAUUGUAGGCUUGUAAAUAGGGUAAACAUAAUAGGGGAAGAGCCCAAAUGCUCCUUUUUAUUGGAAAAAGUUAUCUUCGAUUGCAGAAGAUUGCCCAGAUACUCAGUCAGAAGCUAGUCUACUUGAUAGCUAUUAGUCCAUUGCAAAAUGGCUUUUUAUCCUUUAGAGCCGUGCUACUGGAAGUAUGGUCUGUGGCCAGGAUAGGUGACAGUGACAAGAUAGGUGCAGAAAUUGAGAGUAAAAGUUUAGAAACUUUUUUUUUUAAGUUUAUUUAGUUUUGAGAGAGAAAGAGAGUGCAAGCGGGGAAGGGGCAGAGAGAGGGAGAGACAGAAUCCCAAGCAGGCACUACACUGUCAGCUCAGAGCCCGACAUAGGACUUAAACCUACCAGCUUUGUGAGAUCAUGACCUGAACCAAAACCAAGAGUCGGAUGCUUAAGUGACUGAGCCACCCGGGCACCCCUUGUGAAUCUUAUUUUUAAAAUGAGGCUUGUAUUUUAUAUGCCUUUAAUUUUAUUUUUCUAAUAAUUACUCUUUCAUGUAUUUUAUAAAAUGCCCAUCUGUAACAAAUUAGAAAUUAAAAACAAAAAAAUGCUGUUUUUUUUCACCACAAAUGGAGUACUGACUAUAGAGAGCCCUUAAAGGUCAGUAGAGUUCCUUGCAUCUAAAACUACCUGCUCAUACUGUGAACUGAUUUUUAAAGAUUUUAUAUUUAAGUAAUCUCUACCCAAUGAGGCACUUGAACUCACAACCCCAGGAUCAGGAGUCACAUACUCCUGACUGAGCCAGCCAGGCACCCCUGCUUAUACUGUAAAUUAUUUAACCUAUCUUUAACUAUUUAAAAGAGAGAAUGGAUUAACCUUUAUGUUAUAAAUACCUCAUGUCUGUAAAAAAAUUUUAUUACAUAAGUAAUAAUGUUCAUUGUAGAAAGAUUAAUAUCCCUCUACCUAGUAACAAGCAUCAUGAAUAUGCACCUACAUGUGUAAGUACAUAAUUUUUAUAAUACAUUCAGUUUUGCAGCCUUUUAUCCCCACUUAAACACUGUAUCUUAGAUGUCUUUCAGUGGCAGUGAAUGUAUUUCUAUAACAUUAUCUGUAAUAGCCAUCUGGUAAUUUAUGGUACAGACCUAUUUGUUAUAAAUUAUAACCAUAUUUACCAUAUAACCAUAUAUAACUUCCUAUUAUACUGAUAUUUAGGUUAUUUCCAGUUUUUUAUACUGUAAAAUAAUACUCUGAGACACAUGCUUUUAGCUAAACCGUUAGUUACUUCUUCAGGAUUGGUAUCUGAGAAUCACAUUUCUUAGUCAAAGGGCACGUGCAUGUUUUAAAACUUUGGAUUUAUAUUGUCACAUUGCCCUCCAGAAAAGUUUUAACCAUCUUAACCAGUAGCAGAAUAAGAAAAUACCUGUUUUCUCACAUAUUCAUUAAAAGGAGAUAAUUUAAAAUUUAAAAAAUGUUUGUCAACCUAAUAAAUACAGAUAUUUAAUAGAAUUAAUUUCCUCGUUGACAAUUGAGGCAGAAUAUAUAUGUCGUAUAUGACACAUAUCAAAUCAUGUAUCUUAUAUGUCUUGAUUACAAAUUAGGAUGAAUAUAUGAUAACACUACUCUAAGGUAGAUAGUCCCAUAAGAAAACCAAGACUUAAGAAAUUCACCUAAGGUUAUACACUGAGUGAAGUGUGUUAAUCCUAGACCAUUAAGAAUGCCACAGGAACAUAAGAAAUGUGAUAACAGGGGCUCCUGGGUGGCUCAUUCAGUUAGGUGUCUGGCUCUUGGUUUUGGCUUAGGUCAUGAUCCCAGCGUCCUGUGAUCCAGCCCCACAUCGGGCUCUGUGCUGACAGCACAGAACCUGCUUGGGAUUCUCUGUGUCCCUUCUCUCUCUACCCCUCCCACACACACGCUCUCUCUGAAAAUAAAUAAAAAUAAACUUUAAAAAAAUGUGGAAAUAGAUGAGGUGAAGGAACUCAAGAAGCAUUUGGCACUGUGUAAGAAGACUGUAUGUAUAUUAUAUAUAUUACAUAUGUGUAUGUAUAUACGUAUGCGUGUGUGUGUGUGUGUGUGUGUGUAUAUAUAUAUGUAUGUAUGUAUGUGUAUGUAUUAUAAGCUACUGGGAGGCCAGCACUCUCAAGUCAGAAAACGUUUAUUGUGACAUUUGUUAUUAUUUUUCUCUGGUCUGUGUCUUUGAAAGCCCUUUGACACAAGGCAGUAUAAAAGUAAAUAAGAUAUCCGUUAUGCAUAUAAAGAAAGCAGAGCCCAUGAAAAUCCAUUCUGAAUGAAUAGCAUAGUGUUGACUUUAGUUUUAGGUUCUAAAACCUUUAUGUGUGAUGGAACACAUAGACUUUGAAGAGCAGGUAUAACGAGAGUUACCGGUUCAGUAGAGCCUAGAAGCUAAAUCAUAAGGACUACUACUAGCCUGUGUAGCUUUUUGCCAGUUUACUGCAUUCUUAAUCCCUAUAACAGCAUUUUCCUGUGUUAUUUCACUGCUGUUCAUAUAUGUAAUUGCUUCUCAGCUAUGGUAGUAAGUGAAUUUUUCUAUUAUAUCUUUUUACCACUAGGAAUUUGCUGCAGUUAGGUAAAUAGCUGUAUGGUCACAGAGAGCUACAUAGAGGUAAAAAGAAUGAAGUAAUCUAAAAUUGGUGAGCUCAAGCCUUUAGAAGGAUCCUCCAGAUACCUGAACAAGAUUUCCUACGAUAUUGGGAAGAACAACGAAGCCAAGAGUUAAAAGACAACAUAGUUCAUUCCACCACUGUCUCGAUUUGUCAGGUUUGGGCAUCUUUUACUACAACCUCAUUGUAAAAUAGGGAGGAUGAUAAUUCUUACUCUCUUUCCCUUUUUUUCUUGGAAUCAAAUAUUGAAACGUGCAUGAAAUAGUGUUUGCUAGUUAAGGAUCAUAGAUGAUAUAUCUGUUCUGUCUAACUUGUAACCAAAGAAAUUCAGUGAAAUAUUUGUGUUUAUCAAAUUCUUACUCACUUUCCCUUCUUCUUCCCUAGUAAUCAUGUGUUAAAAUGUACAUGAAAGAAGUGUUUGCUAGUGUACUACCCAACAGUCACCUACCAGGAACACCAAACUCCUUACUGUACAAUGCUAGAAACCUAGUAAAGUCUCAGCAAAUGCUUUUGUGGGAGGGUGGGUGUCUUUCAGUAGUUUCCUCGUGGCUUCAUGAGUUAGCUCUAGGCUCUAGCCAUUGUAGGGACUUGUCAUUGUUACCCCUUAUUCAGAUUCCUGAGUAUGAUGGCCAUUUCUAGAGGUUCCAAAUAGUUUCAGUAUUUGGGGGGCAAACUAAGUUGGACUAUGUGGCAUACAAAAAAGGCCUCUGAAUAAACUACUCAGUCCACUAGAUCACUGAAAUGCAAGCUCUGAGUGGAUUCUCUAAGUCUGAUUAUAGUCUGUAAGGCCACCCAGAAGUGGAGGUUAUCUGGUUUUCAAAGUAUAGGAGAGCCCAUGGUAACAACAAAGUUACCUCCAUGGGGACUGGAAAAUUCUUGAUAGCAUAGCAUUAACUUCUAGGUUUUUAUUGCAAAAUGUAUUUAAGAUGAGAGCUGUUAGAAGUGCUGGGUAUGUUAGGUUCAGAGGUGGUAAGCAAUGUAAAAAAGAGUGUCACAGAAGAUUCGAAAAUUUUUAUGUAGGAAAAAAUGUCAAAAAAUAAAUUCAUCGCUUUAGAUCUCUUCUUCCUUUUUCUUUAUCACUGAAAUAGAACUUUUAUGCUAAGGGCAUCUUUAACUUAGGAGGAAAUGCUUAUUCACAGGGAGCAGUAUGACAGAUUCUUGGUUCAUUUUUUUUUUUUAGAAUUAGCAUAUGUUGAGUGAAUUGAAAAUUAAUUCCCUCUAGACCUCUGUUUGACUUUCAAAAUGAGACCAGCUAUUUUCAAACAAGGCAUAUAACUGUUCUUAUUUCCUUCCUCGAACUGUGAUGUGAGGAUUAAGUCAAUAAUUUCGAAAAUAUUUAGAUCUUAGCAGUGAGUCAUCGUUGUUGCUUGAUUCUGAUGCAGUCUAGUCUGAUGGCUUUCAGCCCCGCCCCCCUUUUUUUUUUUUACUAUAGCCCAUAAAUACUAAUUUCAUACACGCACAUAUAUAUACGUACACACACACACCAGAAAAAAGUUUUCACCAAAUCAUAUUAUAUGUGAUGCAUUCUGAUAUUUUUAUAUUUUUAUUUUGUGUAAAAUCAGGUUGUAACUCACUAAAUCACUUUCACUACCUAUAGUUUGAAAAAAGCACUGAUCUGGUCUGUUAGGCCAAAGGGAAAUUGAUCUGUGUGAGUUUUGCUUGUGUGUAUGGAUUUUGGAGACGAGUUAGCAGUCCUGAGCUUUUUAUUCUGCUGUAGCCACAGUCUUACAUGAAAAUCACAUGGACGUAAGAAAAGAAAGUUACAUUAUUUUAGGUCAUUUAACCAUCCAGGCCAGUUUUUCCCUUGAUCUCAAAAGGCUUGGUAUAUAAAUAUAGUGUUUCUACUCUCAUCAUCCUUCUAAUCUUUAAACUGCACAUGGAUCUACAACUUUGUUGACGCUAAUUAUAGCUUCAUAUAUAUGCCUUCUUAAGGAUAUUAAGCUCCAUGUAUUUCUUAACUAUCCAGCUACAGAACAGUGUUUGACUACAUGGUGUUCCCUGGAUGAUAGUAUUGAAGCUCUGGGGAUUUCUUGAGUUUGUGAGGCUAGCCUGGAGGUAUCAGGCUAUCCAGGACUGAGGAUGAAGGGCUUUUGUUAAGUCCAGAAGACUUGUACUUGGGGGGGGGGGGGGGGCGGUGUGGUAGUUUCUGAAGUGGGUGUAAAGUCACGGGACUAACACGUUUCUAAUGGUUCUGUAUUUCUUUUUCUUUAAUUUUUUGAAAUGUAUGUUUAUUUUUGAGAGAGACAGCUUGAGCGAGGAGGGGCAGAAAGAGGGAGACACAAUCUGAAGCAGGUUCCAGGCUCUGAACUGUCAGCACAAAGCCCGAUGUGGGGCUUGAACUCACAAACCGUGAGAUCGUGACCCAACCCACCUACUGAGCCACCCAGGCGCCCCUAUAUUUCCUUUUUAAAUCACUUUGUCUAAUCAAAAAGAGACUUCUUGCUAUUACUAGAUACAGCAGCCUCAGUAGAGAGAGAACCUAGUAUUGAGGAUAGUAAGGCAUUCUUCAGUUUCUGUAAAAGAUACCUUUCUGAAAAGAUACAGUAAGCAGUUUUAGAUCUCACAUCUGGCUGAUUGACUCACACAAAACGAGUACACUUCUAUGAGAGAAGAACCCCACUGUACUAAAUGGAAUUUAUCUUGGAACAGAAAGGGUACGAUUGGGUUAAUCUUCAUGUUAUGCCAGGUAUUCAAGAGCUCUGGUUGUUGUCCAGCUCAGUCCCUCUGUCACUGCUGGGGUCUGCUGGUUCUACCUUGUGGGAGGCCAGGUGGAGGGAAGAGACAGAGCCUUUGCUAGAGUUAUGAAGUAUGGUUUCCACUGUUUGUUUUUAAUAAGUUCCUUGUCUGGGGCAAAGAUUAUUUGACUCCCAGGGAUCAGGUAACCCAGAACAAACGUGUCCCUUGUUUUUCUGUUGUCACAAGAGCAAAUUACAGAAGUAGAGCAGUUUACCAGGAGUGGGCAGUUGGAGAAGUUUGCCGAAGUGAAAUGGAGGUGACGGUGACCGAGGACUCCUCCUUUGUCCGUGAAAAUUGUUUCUCAUUCAGUGUUACUGUAAACUCUGGAAGCCUUUGACCUCCCCAUUUCCUCUUGGUCUGUCCACUGCCUCUGGGCUUCCCUUCCUUCUUACAUGAAGGAACCCACAUGAUCACUUGAACUGCUCUCCCCCUUUUUACUCUGAUAACAUUCAUUCUAGAAGCCCCUUCCUGGCCAUUCUUCUCGCCUGCCUUUUCUGCUCCAGCAAAUGGUCUCCUGCAAGCAACUGGCUGUAAUCACAAAGACUUGCAGCCUGGGCCUGCCCCCCCCCCCCCCCCCCCGCCCCCGAUUGCUUUCAUCUGGGCCCCCAGUGCUGGUCAUGGUUCUUCUCGCUGGUGGCGAGAUACUUUCAUUGUCCUCUUCCAGCUCAGAUUCUUUCCCCUCAUUUUCAGCAAAUUCUCUUACUUUCAGGUUUCACGUGUUCCUUUUCAGGGUGAAGUAGAAGAGCAAGAGUCUUGUGGGCAGAUGAAGCCACAUCUGAGUAGAUGAGUAACCUCGCGUAGGUUACCUAAUCCCUUCGGCCUCGAUGGACUCAUCUGUAAAAUGGGCACAAUAACAACUUUUUCUUAUCAUUUCGAGGAUUCUGAACAUAAACAGCCUGGAGUUUAACAUGAUUAAAAAAUCGUUUCCCUCCCCAUCACCUCUUCCCUGUGCUGCUUAUUAAGACCCUCCUCUUGCAUGACUCCUCCCUUUUCCUUCUUUCAUCAACAUUCAGUAAAUAUUUUUUGAAUCUUUGCUAUAUCCCAAGUGCUCUAACAGGUGCUAGGGUUGACCUAAACAGCCUCUUCCCCUUGACGAAUUCUUUCUCCUCAGACCAGAAAUGGUCCUCUUACUGUCUCAUUCUUCCCCCUCCCCCAAAGGUCACCCUGAUGUGCUGAUUCAGAGAGCACUCCAUCCUUACUUUGCCUCGGUGGAAUUUAAUACUGCCUUUUAAAAAAUACUCUUCCGAGGGGCACCUGGGUGGCUCAGUCGGUUAAGCGUCCGACUUUGGCUCAGGUCAUGAUCUCGCGGUUCGUGAGUUCGAGCCCCGCGUCGGGCUCUGUGCUGACAGCUCAGAGCCUGGAGCCUGUUUCAGAUUCUGUGUCUCCCUCUCUCUCUGACCCUCCCCCGUUCAUGCUCUGUCUCUCUGUGUCUCAAAAAUAAAUAAACAUUAAAAAAAAAUUAAAAAUAAAAAAUGCUCUUCCUUUGUUUGGCUUCCCUCAUGUAUUGCUUUUCUUGAAAGGUUCUUCUAUUUCUCUGUGCCUUUGUAGUGUCUUUUUCGACUUCAAGCCACCAUCUUCAGAAUAAUAUCUUCUAGACCUCUGUUUCAGGCCCUGACUCAAAUCCACACCUCCGUUUUCUGACUAAUAGCCCCGGUACCACAAGUUCGUGGUCUUCCUAAUCUAGUCAUCCCUCCCUACCGAAGUAUUUCUUUUUCUUUUAAUGUUUAUUUAUUUUUGAGGAAGGGAGGGAGACAGUGAGAGAGAGAGAACGAGCAGGGGAGGGCAGAGAGAGGGGGACAGAGGAUCUGAAGUGGACUCUGCACUGACAGCAGUGAGCCGGAUGUGGGCCUCAAACUCACCAACUGCGAGACCGUGUCUUGAGCCAAAGUCAGAUGCUCAACCAACUGAGCCACCCAGGCGCCCCUCAAGUUUUCCUAUUUUAGUAAAAAAUUACUAUCCGGCCAGUCACCCCCCAAAACAAAGACCUCAGAUUAUCCCAGGUGCUCUUUUUUCUUUAAUUCCCACAUCUUACUUGGUCACCUAAUGAUGUCAAGAUGGACUAAGGUUCAAGUAGAGAGAAGUGCUGUGAAAUCGGACUCCUGACACGGCGCAAGGCAAAGUAGGGGUGCUGCGCGCCUUAGAACCUGAGACAUGGUCGUGCUGUGACAAACAGGAUGUAAUUUCAGCAAAGCAAUAGGACAUCAAAUUAAUGUUAUUAAUUUGGAUUUUAUUGCGGUCCUUUUAUUUCUGCUUGAUAGACAAAUUAAUCGUGGUUUUAUAGUAUAUGGUUGUGAGUACAAUUGUUAUCUUUGUGCAUGUUUCACAACAUUAUCAUAAAACUUUAUGGGGGUCUGCAAGAUUUUGUUCCCUUUAAAAAUAAUUCUAGUUGACCCUUGAACAACAAGGGGACAGGGACUAGGGGCACCAACCCCCACAGUCAAAAAUCCAAGUAUAAAUUUUUUUUUAAGUUUAUUUAUUUCGACAAAGAAAGAGGGUGAGCACAGGAGGGACAGGGAGAGGGAGAGAGAGGGAGAGCGAGAAUCCCAAGCAGCCUUUGCACUGUCAGCACGGAGCCCCACAUGGGACUUAAACCCCCAAAUGGUGAGAUUGUGACCUGAGCCGAAACCUGGAGUCGGAUGUUCAACUGACUCAGCCACCCAGGCACCCCCAGGUAUAACUUUUGACUUUGUAAAAACCUAACUACAAAUAGCCUCCUGUGGACCACAGGCCUUAUGAAUAACAUAAAUAGUUGAUUAGCACAUAUAUAUGUUUAUUAUAAUAAAGUAAGCUAGAGAAAGACAAUAUUGUUAGGAAAAUCGUAAGGAAGAAAAAAUAUAUUUACGAUACUAUAUUUUUUUGAAAAAAAUUCAGGUAUAUGUGGUCCCGUGCAGUUCAAACAUAAGAUGCCAUGUUUGUUAAGGGGCCUCAACAAACUAGAAUGAAUUCUUGACCAUGAGGGAUCUAGAAAUAAAGACAUAUAAGGAAAUAAUAAGAGAUGUGAAUGUUUUGUAAAAGAAGGAAAGAUGUACAUAGCGAUGGUAAUUUUCAAAUAUUUAAGGGACUCCUACGAAAGAAGAAAUAGGAAGUACAGGAGAGCAGAAAGAGCAUGUGCUCUGGAGCUAAGGACAUACGGGUUCAAAUGAUGCUCUGCCACUUACCUGUGUGACCUUGGGCAAAUUACCUAAUCUCCCUUAGGCUCUUCUUCUCUAAAGUGGAAUUAGUGUUAUCUACCCCCACAAAGUUACUGAGAGAACUUAUUUAAAGGUACCUAACACAUGGCUGAACCUAAACAAAUACUACUUUCUUCUGUCCUCUGAUAGUUUUUACAACUAGAGUUAGGGGACAAAUUUUUUUUAAAUAAUUUAUUGUCACGUUAGCUAACAUAGAGUGUACACAGGGUAGUCUUGGCUUCAGGAGUAGAUUCCCAUGAUUCAUCACUUACAUACAACGUCCAGUGCUCAUCCCAACAAGUGCCCUCCUCAAUGCCCAUCACCCAUUUUCCACGCCCCCUCAGCCCCUGACCCCCAUCAAUCCUCAGUUUGUAUCUAAGAGUCUCUUAUGGUUUGCCUCCCUCUCUGUUUGUAACUUAUUUUUUCCUUCCCUUCCACUAUGGUAUUCUGUCAAGUUUCUUGAAUUCCACGUAUGAGUGAAAACAUAUGAUACCUUUUUCUGACUGGCUUAUUUCACUCGGCAUAAUACCUUCCAGUUCCAUCCACGUUGUUGCAAAUGGCAGAAUUUCAUUCUUUCUCAUGGCCAAGUAGUAUUCCAUUGUGUAUAUAUACACCACAUCUUCUUUAUUCAUUCAUCAGUUGGUGGACAUUUGGGCUGUUCCCAUAAUUUGGCUAUUGUUGACAGCGCUGCUAUAAACAUUGGGGUGCAUGUGCCCUUACGAAUCAGCACUCCUGUAUCCUUUGGAUAAAUUCCUACUAGUGCUGGGGACCCAGCUCUUGUUGGGUCAUAGGGUAAUUCUAUUUUUAAUUUUUUGAGGAACCUCCACACUUUUCCAGAGUGGCUGCACCAGUUUGCAUUCCCACCAACAGUGCAAGAGGGUAGGGGACAGAAAUUUUGAGGGAACUGAUUUAAGUGGGCUUAUUUUAAGGAAGAAGAAUUAAAUGAAAGUCUUAGCAUUAAUUGUUGAGAGCUUGUAUGCCAUUUCUUCUUAUAUACCAUCACAAUAACCCUGUGCUGUUGAUGUUCAUGACCCCCGCCCCCUGUCUUUACAUGUGAAAAAACUUUCUGAACUUGAGAAAGAUUUUAAACAUCUUAAAAAUUGCCCAAUUACAGUAAAUGAUAAACCUGAUACUGGGCUCCACAGCCUGUAUUCUAAACCAUUCCAGUACAUUGUGUGGUUUAUCUCUGGUAAUGGAUGUUUAUUCGUCCAUUCAUUGAACAGCUAUUUAUCGGACACAUCCUCUACUCCAGGCGGAGUUUAUAGUGCAGAACGUGACCCAGAGGUCGAAGGGGAUAGGGAGUGCUGGCAGUGGUACAGAGGAAGCAAGGGUCUUGCUGUGUCGUAUAGCGAGUGUUCGGGGAAAGCCUCUCUCUCGUAGGACAGCAUUUGAACUCAGAGAUCUGAAGGAGAGAGAGCCCUGUGGAUAUUGUGGGGAAAGCAUUUUAGGCAGAGAAGAGCAAGUUUCUCAGAAGUAAUCUUUUUAUUAAGAAUAAGUAUUUUGGGGGCGCCUGGGUGGUUCAUUCGGUUGGGCCGCUGACUUUGGCUCAGGUCAUGCACUCCGUGAGUUCGAGCCCCUCAUCGGGCUCUGUGCUGCCAGCUCAGAGCCUGGAGCCUGCUUCGGAUUCUGUGUCUCCUUCUCUCUCUGCCCCAUCCCCACUUGCACUCUGUCUCCCUCUGUCUCAAAAAUAAAUGAACAUUAAAAAAUUUUUAAUAAAAAACAAAGAAUAAGUAUUCUUAACCAUUUUCACUUAGUUGUUUUUCUAGAUUGACUUUAGCAAUACGUUGAAUGAAUUUCAAGAGAAAUCUCAAUGGAAUUUUAGUUUGAAGUGAAUUAAAUUGUAAAUUAAUACGAGGAGAAAUGACGCUUUUACCAAUAUUGAAACAUUCCAGCCAGAAAUAUGGAAUGUUUCUAUUUUUUUUUUCUGUCUAGUAGAGUUUUGAGGUUUUCUUCCUAAAGGAACCACACUUCUUAAAAAAAUUACUGGGUGUCAUUUGCUGUUGCUGAUGCUUUUAUAAACUGAAUUUUAGUUGCUCAGAAUAAGAACCUUGGCAUCAUCCUUGACUUAACAGUUUUUUUUACUCCCCAUACCUAGUGUGCUGGCCAACCCCGUUCAUUCCCACUUCAGAGUACAAGCAGGUUGCAAACCCUUCCACCGCCACCAUCCUUGUCUAUACCGCUAUUGUCUCUUUACUGUUCUAGUAGAUUUCUAGCUGCUCUCCCUCUCCACCCCUGCCCUCUGAAAGUCUCUUUGCAGCGGUACAGCAAGGGCAACAGUCAUCCCGUUAACAUAGAGGGUCGACCAGCCUCCUCCCUUCCUUGAUAUAGCCCAGCCCUAGCCUCCUCCCUGUUCCUUAUACCCGGGUCACAGUGCUGCCUCGGGCUCUGUCCCGGCUCCCUCCUCCGGGCAUCACCCAGAACCCCUCCAGUCUGUUCGGGCCUGCCACUUCCAAUGAGAGAUUUUAAACCAUCCUGUUGACAAUUACAACCCUGUCCUUGACUCAUUUUGUACAGCUCUUUUUUCAUAUUCUUACAUACUAAAUAAUUUACUUAUUUAUUAGAGUUAUUUGCUGUUUUAUUUUCCCCCUUGAGGGCAGGGAUUUUUGCCUCUUGUUUGUUGGUGUAUCCUUAACACUUAGAACAGUGACUGGCUCACAAAAAACAUUUAGUAAAUAUUUGUAGAAGGACUGAAUUCAGCCUUUUUCUUUUAUAUUUUCAAAUCUGGUCUCUGGUGAUAACAUGCCAAGGCUUUUUUUUCACUUAUUUGUCAUCCUGCUAUACUUUAAUUCUGUUUUUCUAGUGAUAUACUUUUUCAUAAAUCAUAUGCAAAUUAUGAUUCUUUUGUCUUUUCUGUUGCAAUAUUUGUUUGUUGGAAAGUGGGGUAGGAAUUAUCUUAAUAUAUUAACUAGAACUUCCAGAACAGUGUUAAGCACUGGAGGCAAUUGACAUCUUUGCCUCCUUCCUGAUUUUUAGGAAUAUAUCUUGUUUUAUUACUGUAUUUGGAUUUGGCUGUCUUCAUUAUGUUGAAAUAUUCUUUUAUUCUUGUUUUUUAAAUAAUUUUUAUUAAGAAGUUAAAUUUUGGGGUGCCUGAGUGGCUCAAAGUGUUAAGCUUCCAGCUCUUGAUUUCAACUCAGGUCAUGAUCUCAUGGUUCAUGAGUUCGAGCCCUACGUCAGGCUCUAUGCUGAUAGCACAGAGCCUGCUUGAGAAUAAACUUUUUUUUUUAAGUUAAAUUUUGCCAACCGUCUUUUUACCAUCCGUUGUAAUAAUCAUAUAAGUUUUCUUUUUUAGCCUUUGUAUUAAUUAUAUAAGUAGAUUAAAUAUUAAAUUAUACUUGCAUACUUGGAAUAUACCUUACUUUGUCUCAGUAUAUAAACAUAUCUGUGUGUGUGUGUGUGUGUGUGUGUGUGUGUGUUUUAAGAUGUAAUUCAAGUGCCAUAAGAUUCAUCCUUUUAAAUUGUGCAAUUCAGUGGUUUUUAUUAUAUUCACAAGUUUUGGUACAGCCGUUAACAUUAAUUCCAGAACAUUUCAUCACCCCAAAAGGAAACCCUGUAUUCAUUAAGCAGUCACUCCCCACCCACCCAGACCCCGACAAUCACAAA